UACAGAGGUCCCAAGCGUUGUUCGGAUUCAUUGGGCGUAAAGGGUGCGAUAGGCGGUGGGGUAAGUUGGAUUGUGAAAUCUUGGGGCUUAAACCUCAAAAUUGGCAUUCAACUGACUGGCUCCGCUCGAGUUCUGUAGAGGAGAUUGGAAUUCUCGGGAUGUAGGCGGUGAAAUGCGUAGAUAAUCGAGAGGAACACCUGCGGCGAAGG
rnacentral:rRNA from 1 species